GAUGAACGCUGGCGGCGCGCCUAAUACAUGCAAGUCGAGCGAACAGAUAAGGAGCUUGCUCCUUUGACGUUAGCGGCGGACGGGUGAGUAACACGUGGGUAACCUACCUAUAAGACUGGGAUAACUUCGGGAAACCGGAGCUAAUACCGGAUAACAUUUGGAACCGCAUGGUUCUAAAGUGAAAGAUGGUUUUGCUAUCACUUAUAGAUGGACCCGCGCCGUAUUAGCUAGUUGGUAAGGUAACGGCUUACCAAGGCGACGAUACGUAGCCGACCUGAGAGGGUGAUCGGCCACACUGGAACUGAGACACGGUCCAGACUCCUACGGGAGGCAGCAGUAGGGAAUCUUCCGCAAUGGGCGAAAGCCUGACGGAGCAACGCCGCGUGAGUGAUGAAGGGUUUCGGCUCGUAAAACUCUGUUAUUAGGGAAGAACAAAUGUGUAAGUAACUGUGCACGUCUUGACGGUACCUAAUCAGAAAGCCACGGCUAACUACGUG
rnacentral:rRNA from 1 species